UUAAAAAGCAAGUGUGAUAUUUAGGCAGCUUUGGAAGAGGAAAAAAAAGCAAAGAAAACAAGUCAACUGCUUCUGGUUUAUCCCGUUGAUCCUGUUACUGUUCACCUGAAGGCAACAUAAGCUCAAACUAAGGCAUUUUCUUUUUUCAAGGAAGGAGCCCUUAUUAAGUGGAGGAAGGCAAUUUGAUGUCUUCACUGUCAGGAUGGUCAAAUGAUGAAAACAUAAUCUUUGAUAUGCUCUACUGGAA
rnacentral:lncRNA from 1 species